GGGAGGAGUAGAUGAGGGCAGAGAGGUGACAACUGGGGGCUGCAGAGCCUGAGAGCCAUUGUCAGGACUUUGUUUCUCAGUGAGGGGGAGCCAGGAGGGGUUAAAAGGUGCCUGUUACGUACUGCUAGGCACUCAGCCAGCUGCGGGGGAUCCGAGGGUGAGAACUUUCCCCUUCAGAGCCCAGGAACUUUUUUUUUUGAAGAUUGGCCCUGAGCUAACAUCUGCUGCCAAUCCUCCUUUUCUUUUCUUCCUCAAGUCCCAGUAAAUACUUGUAUAUUCUAGUUGUAGGUCCUUUUAUUUUUUUAUUUUUAUUUUUUUUGAGGAAGAUUAGCCCUGAGCUAACAUCUGCUGCCAAUCCUCCUCUUUUUGCUGAGGAAGAUUGGCCCUGAGCUAACAUCUGUGCCUAUCUUCCUCUGCUUUAUAUGUGGGAUGCCUACCACAGCAUGGUGUGCCAAGGGGUGCCGUGUCCACACCCAGGAUCUGAACCCUCGAACCCCGGGCUGCUGAAGCAGAACGUGCAAACUUAACCGCUGCGCCACCGGGCUGGCCCCUCAUUGUAGGUCCUUUUAGUUCUUCUAUGUGGGACGCCGCCUCAGCAUGGCUUGAUGAGCGGUGCCAUGUCCACACCCAGGAUCCAAACCAGCGGAACCCUGGGCCGCUGAAGCAGAGCGCAUGAAGUUAACCCCUCGGCCACGGGCAGCCCCCCAGGGAGCUUUCUGUGAAGAGCUCCAAGGCCGUCGGUGAGGAUCGCCUCACUUGAUCCUCCGACCACUGCGUCCAGCAGCUCACACCCAUUUGGCAGGUGGAGAAGCUGAGGCCAGAGGGCCCCAGUGUCCUGGAGGACUGCUGUGUGGCCGGGAUCCCUUGCUCUCCAGCUUGGGGUUGGGGGGGGGUACAAUGGGAGGCCCCAGCACUUGCUUGGAGGGCGGGAGGACAGAGGGGCUGGGGAAUUGAUGCCCCUGGCUCCCCCUGGCUGAGCUGGGGUGACAGCGCCUGCAUUCCUCAGCCUCUGUCAGGUGACCUCGAGCUGCAGGUCUUGCCAGGUGCUGAUGGCCCCUCCUUGGGAAAGGGCUGACGGCUUCUGUGGCUGCUAUGAAGGGCGGGGUCGCUGCUCCUUGUGGUCCCCGCACCAUCGGAAAGAGCCCAUCCUGAGCUUCUUGGUAUCUGCCCCGUCUGAGUGGGUGCCGUUCCACCCAGGAGCUGUCUCACACACAGUGAUCCGCAGAACAAAAUAGAAAGGCACCAGGGAGGGUCCCUAUGAUGUCACCAAGCUGCUGAAGCCCAGCCUUCUCCAGAUUUCCUGCUACAUGAGCCAAUAAUGGUUCUCAGGUAGUUUGGAGAUCGAUUUCCUGUCACUUCCAAGGUGAUACAGUUACAGAGCAGGGGGGCAUCUUGCCUCCCACCCCACCUCCCCCAAGCUCCAGCAUCAGGUUAAGAGCAUAGGCUCCAGGUUAGACAGAAGUGGGAUCAAAUCCCAACCUGGCCACUUAAGAGCUGUGUGACCUUGGGCAGAUUACUUAACCUCUCUGAGCAUCAGUUUUCUUUCCUCCACCCUGGUGAUGAUAAUAGCUACUCCUUCAUAGAGUUAUGGCUGUAGGAGUCAAUGAACUAUUUCACAGUGGCCAGCACAUAGCAAACACUCCAAAUAGUUUGGUCCAAACUGCUUUUCUAUCAUGACUUUUGUGCCUAGAGAACAAUUUUGCUGCAUUUCCGUUACUGAAAUGAUAUAAUGGUGCUCAUAAUUUUUUCUGCCUCAACACACCUAUUGCAGCAGGAGUGUACCCAGCAAUGUCCUGGAGGCCAGCUGUCCACUGACAGAGGGACCAGCGCUCAACAAGGCCAUGAUGUUCCAGUUCCGGAGCCAGAGCGUCAGGUGGGAAGGUGGCGGUGAGUUUUGAUGGAUGAGUUAAUUGUUUUCUGAAAGGAGCUGGGGUGAGGAGACCAAUUACUUUUCCCCUCGCAGGAUGUUUAAACAUGCUGGCUCUGUCCAGCCAUUCCUUUAUUCAAUAACUGUGUAUCGACUGCCCUUUACAUUUUGGCAUCUGUUUUAGGCACUGGGGAUACAGUGGUUAACAGGACAGAAAAAUCCAAAU
rnacentral:lncRNA from 1 species